AACGAACGCUGGCGGCAUGCCUAACACAUGCAAGUCGAACGAGCCCUUCGGGUCUUGUGGCGCAUGGGUUCGUCACGCGUGGGAACCUUCCCUUAGGUUCGGAAUAACUCUCCGACUGGGAUGCUAAUACCGGAUAAUGUCUUCGGCCCAAUGAUUUAUCGCCUUUGGAUGUUCCCGCGUUGGAUUAGCUAGUUGUUAGGGUAAAAGCCUACCAAGGCGACGAUCCAUAGCUGGUCUGAGAGGAUGAUCAGUCACACUGGGACUGAGACACGGCCCAGAAUCCUACGGGAGGCAGCAGUGGGGAAUAUUGGACAAUGGGCGAAAGCCUGAUCCAGCAAUGCCGCGUGAGUGAUGAAGGCCUGAGAGUUGUAAAGCUCUUUUACCCGGGAAGAUAAUGACAGUACCGGGAGAAUAAGCUCCGGCUAACUCCGUG
rnacentral:rRNA from 1 species